UAAAAUGAGAGUUUGAUCCUGGCUCAGGACGAACGCUGGCGGCGUGCCUAAUACAUGCAAGUCGAGCGAGCGGAACUAACAGAUUUACUUCGGUAAUGACGUUAGGAAAGCGAGCGGCGGAUGGGUGAGUAACACGUGGGGAACCUGCCCCAUAGUCUGGGAUACCACUUGGAAACAGGUGCUAAUACCGGAUAAGAAAGCAGAUCGCAUGAUCAGCUUUUAAAAGGCGGCGUAAGCUGUCGCUAUGGGAUGGCCCCGCGGUGCAUUAGCUAGUUGGUAAGGUAAAGGCUUACCAAGGCGAUGAUGCAUAGCCGAGUUGAGAGACUGAUCGGCCACAUUGGGACUGAGACACGGCCCAAACUCCUACGGGAGGCAGCAGUAGGGAAUCUUCCACAAUGGACGCAAGUCUGAUGGAGCAACGCCGCGUGAGUGAAGAAGGUUUUCGGAUCGUAAAGCUCUGUUGUUGGUGAAGAAGGAUAGAGGUAGUAACUGGCCUUUAUUUGACGGUAAUCAACCAGAAAGUCACGGCUAACUACGUGCCAGCAGCCGCGGUAAUACGUAGGUGGCAAGCGUUGUCCGGAUUUAUUGGGCGUAAAGCGAGCGCAGGCGGAAGAAUAAGUCUGAUGUGAAAGCCCUCGGCUUAACCGAGGAACUGCAUCGGAAACUGUUUUUCUUGAGUGCAGAAGAGGAGAGUGGAACUCCAUGUGUAGCGGUGGAAUGCGUAGAUAUAUGGAAGAACACCAGUGGCGAAGGCGGCUCUCUGGUCUGCAACUGACGCUGAGGCUCGAAAGCAUGGGUAGCGAACAGGAUUAGAUACCCUGGUAGUCCAUGCCGUAAACGAUGAGUGCUAAGUGUUGGGAGGUUUCCGCCUCUCAGUGCUGCAGCUAACGCAUUAAGCACUCCGCCUGGGGAGUACGGCCGCAAGGUUGAAACUCAAAGGAAUUGACGGGGGCCCGCACAAGCGGUGGAGCAUGUGGUUUAAUUCGAAGCAACGCGAAGAACCUUACCAGGUCUUGACAUCUAGUGCCAUUUGUAGAGAUACAAAGUUCCCUUCGGGGACGCUAAGACAGGUGGUGCAUGGCUGUCGUCAGCUCGUGUCGUGAGAUGUUGGGUUAAGUCCCGCAACGAGCGCAACCCUUGUUAUUAGUUGCCAGCAUUAAGUUGGGCACUCUAAUGAGACUGCCGGUGACAAACCGGAGGAAGGUGGGGAUGACGUCAAGUCAUCAUGCCCCUUAUGACCUGGGCUACACACGUGCUACAAUGGGCAGUACAACGAGAAGCGAGCCUGCGAAGGCAAGCGAAUCUCUGAAAGCUGUUCUCAGUUCGGACUGCAGUCUGCAACUCGACUGCACGAAGCUGGAAUCGCUAGUAAUCGCGGAUCAGCACGCCGCGGUGAAUACGUUCCCGGGCCUUGUACACACCGCCCGUCACACCAUGGGAGUCUGCAAUGCCCAAAGCCGGUGGCCUAACCUUCGGGAAGGAGCCGUCUAAGGCAGGGCAGAUGACUGGGGUGAAGUCGUAACAAGGUAGCCGUAGGAGAACCUGCGGCUGGAUCACCUCCUUU
rnacentral:rRNA from 1 species